rnacentral:tRNA from 1 species
AGGUAGUUUAGUGGUUAGAACAUCAGGCUUGGAACCAGAAGUUCCUGGGUUCAAAUCUAACCU